rnacentral:rRNA from 1 species
GGCCGGGCCGGGCGGUCUCGCCGCGAGGUGGGCACUGCUUGGUCUGGCCUCUCCUUCUGGGGAACCAUGGUGCUCUUAACUGGGUGUCAUGGGGAUCCAGGACUUUUACUUUGAAAAAAUUAGAGUGUUCUAAGCAGGCUUACGCUUGAAUAUAUUAGCAUGGAAUAAUAGAAUAGGACUUUGGUUCUAUUUUGUUGGUUUCUAGAACCGAAGUA